AACAGAAUAAAACAAAAUAAAACAAAACAAAACAAAAAACAAAAAUAGAGGCAGCUCCAUCUCUUUCGCUCAAUCAUUUUCAAGGGGAAAAUCUCUCUCCUUCCUUUUUUUCUCUUUUCUCUUUUCUCUUUUCUCUUUCUCUUUCUCU
rnacentral:ribozyme from 1 species